GUUAAAUCAAUCUGUUUACACGAAUUGAUAAAAAUUAUUUCCUUUUAAAAAGUAAACAAUUUUUCAUUGAUAAAUACAUAUGCAAAAUAAAAUAAAUUGAAACAAAUGAAAACAAAUUGUCAAUAAUCCUAUUAACUAUGGAUCAGUAGUCAGUACACGGAAGCCUUUGAAAAAGAGAAACAAAAUAGAUUGCUGGACACACCAACCCUCUUUCCAGUUUCAGCAGCAAUUUUCUAAUACCAGUAGGAUUCAACAUUUGCAUUCAUGAAGGGAAAAAGAAAAAAAAAAAUUAGGGAGAACUUGAUUCCAGCAACUAGCAGCUUGUUGUACAGGGAGGGCCAUUUAUUCCAUUGUAAUGAAACACCUACUCAGCUCUUUGUCCAAUUUGUUAUGAUGAGGUUGAACAUAAUAAUUGGUUUCCUUUCUGUUGUGGUAGCAUUAGAUCUGAAUUUCAAAUGGUCGGUAAACAGUUAUUUAUAGAAUUUAGUUUUUCAAACCAAUUUUUGUGACUUGUCACCUAUGAAUUGACAUACCUAGGUAUGGCAAACAAAUAACCAUGCAGGCUGCAAUCUUAAAUAGACAAUGGAUCCAGAAACUUUUGCUGUUAUAUAAAUGUUAUAUCAUCCUGCUGUUUUAUUCCAAGAGAAUCUGAAUUUAGUUUUUCUAUUCAAUUUGUGAUUUGUGAUCUUCAAAUUAAUGUCGCUGGGGCUGGCAACUAAUAACAAUACAGGCUGUAAUAAUCCUAAAUGGACAGUGGACUCAAGAAUUUUCAUGCUUUAGCUGUUAAAGAAAUGUUCUUUCAUCCUACUGUUAUAGUUCCAAGAAAAACUCAGAAUUUAGUUUUUCAAAUAAAUUUUUGUGACUUGUGAUGUUUACUUAUGAGAAUUGGUUGAGUUUUACGUUGGCUAUCAACCUACUAAAACCCUCCUCUUUCCCUAGGAUUGGAACCCGCAAUGCUUUGAUAAGCGCCUAGAGCUAAAUGUUGAAAAAGGAUCCAUAUAGCUGAUUACAACUAGUUGGGAUUAAGGCUUAGUUGUUAU
rnacentral:misc_RNA from 1 species